rnacentral:lncRNA from 1 species
UAUUUCAGUGUUUCGCAGAAAAGGAAUAUCAAACGGAAUGAAACCUUCGCGGGGAUCUUUUUUGGAACAAACGCAAUCCAGGAGACUUGGAGUGGAGGUCAAGAAAGCCAUGAGGCGGCCACGAGGCAGGAGGGCGCGCCCCCCACCCUCGUGGGCCCCUCGUAGCUCCACCGACCUACUUGUUUCGCCUAUAUAUACUCUUAUACCCUGAAACCAUCCAGGGAGCCACGAAACACAUUUUCCACCACCGCAACCUUCUGUACCCGUGAGAUCCCAUCUUGGGGCCUUUUUCGGCGCUCUGCCGGAGGGGGAGUCAAUCACGGAGGGCUUCUACAUCAACACCAUGGCCUCUCCGAUGAUGCGUGAGUAGUUUACCACACACCUUCGGGUCCAUAGUUAUUAGCUGGAUGGCUUCUUCUCUCUCUUUGGAUCUCAAUACAAAGUUCUCCUCGAUCUUCUUGGAGAUCUAUUUGAUGUACUACAUACUUUUUGCGGUGUGUUUGUCGAGAUCCGAUGAAUUGUGGGUUUAUGAUCAAGAUUAUCUAUGAACAAUAUUUGAUUCUUCUCUGAAUUCUUAUAUGCAUGAUUUGAUAUCUUGCAAGUCUCUUCGAAUUAUCAGUUUGGUUUGGCCUACUAGAUUGAUCUUUCUUACAAUGGGAGAAGUGCUUAGCUUUGGGUUCAAUCUUGCGGUGCUCGAUGCCAGUGACAGAAAGGAAAACUACACGUAUUGUAUUGUUUCCAUCGAGGAUAAAAAGAUGGGGUUUAUAUCAUAUUGCUUGAGUGUAUCCCUCUACAUCAUGUCAUCUUGCCUAAUGCGUUACUCUGUUCUUAUGAACUUAGUACUCUAGAUGCAUGCUGGAUAGCGGUCGAUGUGUGGAGUAAUAGUAGUAGAUGCAGAAUUGUUUCGGUCUACUUGUCAUGGACGAGAUGCCUAUGUUCAUGAUCAUGCCUAGAUAUUCUCAUAACUAUGCACUUUUCUAUCAAUUGCUCAACAGUCAUUUGUUCACCCACCGUAGAAUAUGCUAUCUUGAGAGAAGCCACUAGUGAAACCUAUGGCCCCCGGGUCUAUUUUACAUCAUAUUAUUUUCCUAUCAACUUGUUAUUUCUGCCGCCGUUUAUUUUGCAAUCUUUACUUUUCAAUCUAUACAAGAAAAAUACCAAAAAUAUUUAUCUUAUUAUCUUUAUCAUAUCUCACUUUUGCAAGUGGCCGUGAAGGGAUUGACAACCCCUUUAUCGCGUUGGUUGCAAGGUUCUUAAUUGUUUGUGCAGGUAUUAGGGAUUUGCGUGUAGUCUCCUACUGGAUUGAUACCUUGGUUCUCAAAAACUGAGGAAAAUACUUACGCUACUUUGCUGCAUCACCCUUUCCUCUUCAAGGGAAAACUAACGUAUGCUCAAGUGGUAGCACGGGGGCACAUCGCCACAGCCUUCCAUUCGCCUCGAGGCACAAAUUUUUCACCUUCCGAUCUUAGCAGCAACCAGGAACAUUAUAUGAUCCAACUUUAUUAAUAAAUCUCAUGGUACAAUCAAGAUCGAGUCCAUCAAGAACAUGAGAGAGAUCAAACACAUAGCUACUAGUACAUACAUGAGCCCUGAGGAUGAACAACUCACACACCAUCAUAAGAACGGAGGAGUUGUUGGUGAUGGUGAUGAUGGAGAUGUCCCUGGCGGCGUCUCGGUGCCACCGGAGGAGAGGGGGAACCUUCUUCUUCCUUGGCCCUUCAGGAGAGAGGGAGGUCUCCCCUAGAUUAAAUCUCUCUUCUGUCUUUUUUUUGACUGUUUUUUGGUCUUUCACCGUUUCUUUUAUACUUGGAGAUUCGUAAAUCCGAUCGGGCUGAUAUUUUGAGUGGAUUUUUCUGCGGAAAUUAGCUUUAUUGCGGCGAAAGAAGAGCUCCACCCGACUAAGGUGCGAGCCACAAGGGCCCAUGGCGCAACCAAGGGGUGGCCACAUCUCCUGUCCUUGUGGGGCCCUCGAGCAUAGUUUUGUGUUAAUUCCGUCGCCCAAAAAUCAUAUAAAUUCUAGAAAAAAUCAUAUUAAAUCCCUGGGGUAUUUGACCUUCUGAGAUACUGAUUUUCUAUAAAAACCAAAAACAAGUAGAAAACAGGAACUAGCAGUGGGCAAUAGGAUAAUAGUUUAGUCUAGAAAAAUAAUAUAAAGUACACCAAAACCAUAUAUAAAUGAUGUAAAUAUAGCAUGAAUACUUCAUAAAUUAUAAAUAUGUGGAGAUGUAUCAGUUGGCAUUGACUCGACGAAGCAAUGGUGUGGGAUGCCAGUGCAGGGCGAUCGGCCAAGGUGAUCAUGCAACUUGGCCGAUGUUAGCUCGACGAAGCGAUGGUGUGGGAUGCAGGCACAGGUCAGAAUCUGUGGAGCAAUGAGGUCUGCCCGAUGAGAUAUUGGCGCGACGGUGAAGAGCACCUCAGAAUAGGACCAAAUUUUCCACGCAAGUGCUUGAGAACAUAGCAUAUGAGCCCACAAAAAUCCUCCUUAAUGAAAAGUCGACUGAUAGGCCGCUCAUGGGCAAAGAUGACCUCGGAUCGGAUAUGUCCCAUGCAGAAAAAAUAUUCGCAAAUUGAUGCACUUUUCGGACGUUUCCCGGAGUUUGAACCGUUGGAUUGAGCUAAAAGUUUGAGGGCUUGCAGUCAUGAUAAUUUUGCAUAAUCUAAACGGUUGGAUCUUCCAAACGAUGCAAGACUUUAUUUAUUUUGGACUUUUUAAAACUCGAAUCAUUAUUCCUCUUUCCCAAUAAGUGUGAGGCACAUACUUGCACUCGGCUUGUAGUUGAGUGGCUGACGAACGCAGAUAGAUGAUUUUACUAUUGUACCUGGUAUGCUUCGGAUUGGUGUUUUUGAAGUGAUCUCUAACGCAUAAUUUCUUUUGUCUGUGACGGACAUUGAUUUCUUACCAACAUAAUAUUGUCAUCCGCUCUAAACCUUGGCAAUGGAAAUUUUGACUCCACAAAAUUAUUUCUUCUUUCUUCACCUUCAUAUCAAUGGGACUAAAAGGAUUGCAUGUAUUACUUCCACGCUAGUUAACUUCUCAAGCUUGCACGAAUGAUAAUGAUACAUUUUUGGAGGUUGGUAUUCAACGUAAGCUUUUUUUGCGGGGAUCUUCAAUGUAAGCUUAAGAGUUAGAAACAAUUAGCAUACUUAGUCAAUUUUCUUACUCGAGGGCGAGUAAUAUUUAAGCUCUAGGAGGUUGAUGGCUCUAUUUUUUACCCAUUUAAAGCUCAUUUGUCGCAUAAAGUUGGAGAAGAAGCUCACAUCAGUGCUCAUACCCAUGGUGCAUAAGUUGAAGAAGAAGCUCUCCACCUGGCGGGCAUUGAUGCUCGGUGCGUAGCCCAAUAUCCCUUGGUGGGCUUGACAUCCGAGAUCUCCAUCGUGCUGGUGUGUUCGUGCGCGAUGGCUCUGGUUGCAAUGCACCAACCCCUUGCGUCGAUGGCAUCUACUUCACCUUCCUGUGACCCUCGACUUUAGGAAAUUAUCCAUGCCUCUACCUUUUGGUCCUUGGAGAUGGCAACACAUCUCAUUUCUAGACAGACCAGUGGAUCGAAGGCAAGUCCGUCUCAAAGCUUGCACCGCUUAUUUUCCUCCUUGUUUCACAUCGACGGUGAAAAUCAUGUUUUGUUCGGGAAGGUCUCCACCUCCGCUCCUAUAUCCAAGACAUCCAGGGUGCGCUCGAUCCUGCGGCCAUGGUGCAAUACAUCGAGCUAUGGGGCCAUCUCUGUCACUUCCCGCUCUCUAGCGACCCUACCAAGCUUGUAUGGCAUUGGACAGUCUCCGGUGUUUACUCACCAGGUCCUGCUACGAUGUCUUAUUCUUGGGCUCUAGUACAGCUCCGGUUUUGCAGCUCACUUGGAAGACAUGGGCACCGCUGCGGGCCAAGGUUUUCAUUUGGCUUGUCGUCGUGGAUGGUGGACAUGCUCGCUCGCCGUGGUCUACCCCAUGUCGAUCAUUGCGUGCUCUAUGACCAGGUCCCCGAGGACAUGCAGCACAUCCUCAUUGGAUGCUCAUUUUACGGGCAAGUUUGACCAUUCCAGAUUUGGCGAUCGGGCGUUUCUGCCGGGCCUCGAUUGUGUCGCUAAAGGGGUUGUUCUCGCUUUUUUUUCUUACCGUCUGGUGCCUAUGAAAAUACCGCAAUGGGUGUCUUUGACGAUCAUCGGUCAUUUGUUCUUCAUCUGGUUCAGAUAACCCAGGAGGAUGCGCGGCUAUGGGCUCGAGUCGGCGCCAAAAGGUUAGAUAGAUUGCUUCAUAAGAUGUUGUCUUAGUGUUAAUUGAGGAUGGAGCACUCGUUGACUGUUCUACUCUACGCUCACUACCAUGCGGCCUUACGUGGUGUAGCCCUAUGACUAUUUUAUUUUCUACUAGUCUAUACCUAAUAAUAAAGGGAUUAUUUUAUUGGCGAGAUUUUGUAAAAAAACAUUUGCUUAUUCAAAAAAUAUUUGAAAUUUUAAAAAUAAAUGUUCAUGAUUUUUAAAAAUUUCUUGAAUUAAAAAAUUUAAUGAAAUUAAACAAAAUAUCACCAAUUAAACAAAUGUUCAUGAAUGGAAAAAUAUCCUAAAAAUUAAAAAACUGUUUGUGACUUGCAAAAUAGUUUAUUCAUUCAUAAAAUGUUCGCUGAUUCAAAAAAAUUAUCAUGCAUUUCAAAAUAUGUUUGUUAAAUCAAAACAAUGUUCGUGAAUUUCAAAAAUUAUUCCACCAAUUUCCAAAAAAUUGUUCGGCGAUUCAAGAAAAUUGUUUAAAACAAUAUACGCAAUUCCAAAAAAAUGUUUGCAAAUAGUAUAAAAUGUUCAUGAAUUCAAACAAUGUUCUUGAUUUUAGAAAAUGUUUGAAAAUUUAUAAAAGUGUUCACGAGUUUGAAAAAUGUUCAUGAUUUCAAAUAUGUGCACGAAUUUUAAUUUUUUUUCAUGAUUUCACAAAAAUGAGAGUAUUGUGAAAAUGGGCUGAAUUCAAGGCCCAGGUUAAAUUAGGUACUAUUCGCGGCAUGAUUUAUCUUCUUUGUUUCUAACUAUGUUCGUUGAAUUUGAAUCUAAAGUUUUAUAGUACUAUGGUAGAUAUGUGUCAUACUUACACUCCCAAAUGUUUAUAAAAAUGAGAUACGGAGAUCGGUGCACCGGUAGCAUCAAAUUCACCGUUGCACCAGAUAUUCCCGCCUUUGCUGGUGGUGGUGGGCGCUGAGAAGGUUGGCGCAGCCAUAACUGCACAAUCCUCGAGCAGCUAACGACCGCGCGACCUGUAGCGACACAGACGGCGCGGCCCACGACACACUACGCGCCCAACGGCGCAUAUGCAUCUCGAUCGACAUUGUCCCCGGCCGACCACACACGCCGACCCAGAAGUACCUGGGUAAUUUUUUCAAUAUUGUCGAGAGGCUAGCUGGGGUGGAUGGACUAGCGGAUCGGCGCGAAACACCACGAUCCAAACGUGAACGCCAUGGCUAAACUAAAGUGGAGAAAAACGAGACUACCGCGUGGCAUAGUCAAGCAAGGGACAAUUACAAUGUCAGAGAGAGAGAGAGAGAGAGAGAGAGAGAGAGAGAGAGAGAGAGAAGAAAAAAGGGCAUAAGCUCUUGUCAGGAGAUGCAACGGGUACAGCUUGCAGCAUUAUGCUCAUUGGUAAAAGAUUGAGAAGGGCAUCGCCCUGGCUCUUGUAAUGUAGAGCGCCGCUGUCCAUCGUAAUAUACAAGGGAGAAUAAUAGUACACUUGAAGAAUCUGCAAUGACAACGCCACACACGGACGGUCGGUCGGUGAAGAGAAACGCGUCCUUGGCCCUCUGAUCUGAUGCUUACAAGGUGUACAACAUACUACUGCCACUAACCCUUUCCUCCCAAGGGAGAGAUAAACGGUGACGGCGUCAUCAGAUGUUGCAUCUGUCGUAUCCGGAGAACCACGAGUUGAGGUCAGUGCUCUUGGUGACCUCCAGUGAUCCCUGCUGGUGUAUGGCGUCCAACUCCCCCCUCCAUUGCUGAUCAUCGCCAGGGCUACCACCAACCGAGUCAUAUCUGGGUGCAGAGUCGAGAUUGCUGGAUGCGGCAGGCAGAGGUGUAGCAUCGUUGUGCUUGGAGUACUCUGUCAGGCGUUGAUUUAGCGCGACGAUUUCAUGGUCGUAGUUCUUCUUUAAGUUGUCUAUCUCCUGAUAUGCUUUCUCCGUCUCCUGCUCUGCCAACAAGGCUCGGUUCUGCAACACACACACAUUGUUUUACGACAACUGAAAAAUGUACUGUCAAUAAACUAUAUAAUAUUCUCCGCCAAAGGAAACUAUAGAAUACAUACAGCACACUAGCAAACUCAACGACCAUGUAACCAUCAGCCCAGUUAAACCGCUGUAUUAGCACUUUCAAUGUGUGUUUUCAUUCCCCCGCAAAAAAAAAAUGUGUGUUUUCAUCCAUAGGUUUGGUGGCAUUCCAAAUUCCUGAUUUCGUGAACUAUAUUAUAAAUCUGCAGCUAUCUAGAUCUAGUACAUUCCAUGCAUCCUGCUGUUAUGUCUAACGAAAUGGUCCAUCAACAACAGAAAUGGUGUAACUUUCAAAAACAACAGAAAUGGUGUAAGAUCUGAGCAACCCAGGAAAUUCAUACCUGGGCAACUGUUGUCGCUUCCUCGGCCUCCUUCAGUCGUACCAGCAAUUCACCAGCAGCUUGAACAGCCUCAGCUGUAUCCUUCCGCUGGUCGUGAAGGCUUUUAUUUUCUGCUCUCAGAAAAGAGAUUUCGGCACCAAGGGAGUUGAGGAACCGUAGUUCGACUCCUUUGACACCAGCUUUUGCAGCCCUCAUCUUCACAUCUUCAACCCCAUCAAGGAUCUUUCUGUGCAUUGCAUGCAAACCAAUAUGCCUCUCUUCAAGGUCAGCAUAUUGUUCCAAGAUUCUAGUAUAUCCCUGCAUCGCUGUUUGCAAUGCUUCCUUCGAUUCCUCUGAGCAUUUUUUCUCUGACUCCAAUUCCGACCGCAACCUUCCAACAAGAGAUUUGUUUGCUUCAAGGUCAGCCCUGAGCUCGUCCAUGAGAGCAAUCCAUUUACUCUCAGCUUCAGCAUAAUCAGCAGCUUCCGGAAUGUUAGUAUCACCAUCAUCAUCUUUUGUCCCAGGCGAAGGAUUAGCACUCUGCUGCGAUUGCAGUGGAGGCCACAGCCUGCGAAGCGAUGCAGAAGAUGAAAGCAUAUAAUGCAACUGACUCUUCAGAUGAUGUAUCUCUUCCUGUAAAACCUCUUUCUCAUCCAUGUAAUUCCUGCACAAGUCCAAUUCCCGCUGGAGUGCCUUCACCUCAAUUUCAGCACGUAGGACUUCAGGGUGGUUGUCAUAUUUCUUUUGGAGGAUCUGCACAUGUCGGAUCAAGGAUAUUAGCUCGCAAGUAAUAAGAAUAAAAAGAAAGUAUUGUCUAUUUAUAUAGUACAAGAACUAUAGAUUUCAGACAACCUUGUGCUCAUUCAUAAGAGAGAGAUACUCCUCAUGUAUAAAUUCAUCAGUCGGUAAAGUUCCAUCCAUCAAACUUUCAAGCCUAGCAAUCUUGCCUUCCAUUGUUUGUGCAAUUACAGCAUUGCAUUCUCGCUCAUGCUUGUACUGUUGCACCUAGAAUAUCAGAAUGGUCAGGGGGGCCAGAAAAUAGUUUCUUGUUUCUGAGGAGAGAAGAAAAACACUCACCAAACGAUUUAGCUGUUGAAUUUCUACAGCUUGCUUCGCGCACUGUUCAUCACGUGCCAUUUCUCGCCUGAUUGAUCCAGCCAGGACCUUCUCCACAGCCUAUACAGACAUAAUUUAAAAAUAAAGCUGCAGCUAGUUUAACCAACUGGUGAACUUACUUUUGUGUGAACUUACUUUGAGAAUCUGCUGCUGCUUUAGGCCAUCAGAUGGUACUGCUCCAUCAGCUGGUACCAAUUGCAGAUCUCUGCAAGCAUCAGGAUCCUUGCUCUCAUUUGAAGAAAUCUCAACUACACAAGAAGGAACUAGAGCCAGAGUGUUAUCUCUUGCUUGAGAUUCUUCAGGAUCAGUCUGAGUCGAGACAUCAACCUUGCAAGGCAGAACAUCCCUAAUUCUAGCAUUUAACCCAACUGAGGCUCUCCUCCAUGCACCGUUGUUUUGGUGACUUUCAAUGACUUGAAGUCCUCUCUGUAUACUGGCAGCGAGAUUUAAGUUGCAUCUGUCUUCUCCAAGUUUAUUAGCAUCAGAACAAGACCUUUUGGUAGGCAUCAAAAUUUUAUCUCCAUCAAACGCAUCAACAUGUGAAAGACCAGCAUUUGUCACCUCUGAAGCUGGGAGCCUUUUGAAACCAAUAUCUCCAGCAAGGGCUAUUACCAUAUCAUGAUUACUGGGCUUCUCAACAUCAUUCUCAUCUAUCUCCAUCUCUUCAUCGCUGUCUUCUUUGAUAGCCUGGAAUGUCGUAGGACGAUUCAAGCUCAUUUUUAGCAGGUGCAAACUGCGCCUAGCAUUCCAACCAGUAGAAAAGCUGCCAUUGCCUCCUUCAGAGCCUCCAUUAGAUUUCAUUCUGUGGAGUUCAUCCUGCAACAAAACAUUAGCGGUGAAACUUGAGUCAAAGAGAAAAACAUUAUGGAGAAAUUUUGCUUUCAAUAUUAACGCAGUAGAACCUUCAGGUGCCUGAUCUGCUCAUGCAGUGCAUUGACAUCGUCCUCUUUUUGUUCAUUAACAACUGCAUUGUUUUUUAUAGCUUUAGCGCGUUGAGCAAACCUUAGAGUGCUUAAGGUUUCAUUCUUACAUCUGUAUAGGAACACAGAAAGUAUGGUGAGGAAUCAACAUCAGAAUAGCACAAAAAGAAGACUUCUGGUUCAACUUGGGUAAUACCUUUCUGACGGCGAAACAGCACAAAUCAUUGCAAGCAUUGCAUUACCACCCAGGGAUUCUUGUAAUAGAAAUGUCAACUUUGAAUCGCGAUAUGGAACGUGCCUUUGUUUUCCAGAUUGUGAAAUUUCUGCUAGUAUAUUAAUCAAGUUUCUGCAGUGACGAAAAACAUAUUGAUCAGAACCUCAAUUCCACAUCUAUUAGCACAUCAUGACAAAAUGUGCAAGGUGAUUCUUUUGGUACAGUGAUUAAUCAGAUCUAUUGUUAGAGUACGUAAUGGGCCUAAUGGGCCUGGGCUGGCGGUAUAGCCCGUUAGUCUUAGGGUUAAUUAGAGAUAAGGGUCGCUUGCUUAGGGGAGUCAAGUAAACCUCUCUAUAUAAGGGGAGGAGAUGUAUCAAUCUAAUCAAGCAAGAAUUAAGAAGGAAAUCCCUUCCCUCUUGCGGGCAUGGUGUCACCGACAGGAGCGCACCGCGUAGCACCACUGCAUUCCGCCGCUGGCCGCCGCGAGGGCGCCUCUGCUGGUCGCUCUUGCGACCACUUCCAGGUGGCCAUACACAUGCACUCCUUUUGUCCAGAUGGUGUCCAUGGGAACCAAGUGGCUGUACACGUGCACGUCCGACGUGCGGAUGGUGUCCACUUUAUGUUCAGGGGUCCAAAAUAAAGCGUCCCAGUCCAUUUCAAGUUGAGAGUAAUAAAACAAGCCGAGAUGUAAAAGGCUUGUUUUUAGGUGUUAGGUUUGUGUUGCGUCGAGUCAUGGUUAUAAGUUGGUUAGGUUGCAGCUCGAGGACAAGUUGCAUGUCCAGGUGGGGUGUAGUGUUAGAGUAUGUAAUGGGCCUAAUGGGCCUGGGCUGGCGGUAUAGCCCGUUAGUCUUAGGGUUAAUUAGAGAUAAGGGUCGCUUGCUUAGGGGUCAAGUAAGCCUUGCUGGGGAGUCAAGUAAACCUCUCUAUAUAAGGGGAGGAGAUGUAUCAAUCUAAUCAAG